GAACAUUAGGGAUUAACAGGAUAACGUGCUCCGACUCUUUCGGAAUAACGGAUUUAUUGUAACGAAGUCAAUGGUUUCCGAGUUAAUUUUGCAACACUCCGUUAUGUAAAGAGAAAGUAGAAAUGAAGGGCGAACGAUUUGGUAAUCGGUUCACGAAUAAUCGUGUGAGAGAGACCUUGGAGUUGGUGGCAGCGUUUCUCGACUUCUUGCGGCGAGAUUUCCGGGGUUUCGACACCACCGUUUGACCACCCUUGUUUAUGCGAUCCACGGCUGAAGCUGUUUGUCUAUCCACAGGAUUGGGGGCUUCCAACGAAUCCGCGUAUCUGGCGGAUUCCCGGUACUUGGGUUUCACGAAGAUCUUCGCAUACGUGACUCUCUUCUCGCCCAGAGUCUUCUUGUUCGGCGUUCGUGAGCUCGUGGAUCGCGUCAACAAAGAGCAAAGCCCGUUAGAUGCUUGUACAGGCUUGCAAGGAUUAUGGUUUUGGAUAUUUCGAUAAAAUAAAUGAGCAUCUUGAUUUGUCGUUGCCCUGACAAUAAAAUAUGACAAAAGACUGACUCCGGGCGAACUCCGUCAAAACGAGAAUAGACAGACUGUACCGGAAUCGUUUUCAUAAAUUGAAAUUACCAUUAUCGGGACGGUUGUAACGAUACGGUAAUAUUUAAGGUCGUUCGAAUUUCUUUCGAGUUUCUUUCGCCAAGCUUUGACAACUCAUUGACAAACAUAAAUGCAACCGUUAACGCACAGCGGUUACACAAUAGUCGUUUAUCAAUUAUAAAACCUGCCAACGUAACUGCGUUCGCAUUAAUUAUGAACGUUGCUUAGAAUAUUCAAGUUUGGUUUGUCCGUUGUGUAUGAUCGAAUAGUAACAGCCGCGUGUUUACAUGAUUCCUUCUAUCAUGCUAAAUGAUAUUUAAGUAAUGCCUAUUAUUGAAAAGCAAUUAUACUCGCAUUUCAUUAAAAACGAGUCGCUACCGGUUCCGACGCUACGAAUCUUUUUUUUCAGCUUGAUCGCUUCAAUACGAGCUUCAGAGAAUUCGAAUAUUGUGAUUUUUUUUUUGCGUAUAAUCCGUGGGAUUUUACAAUGAAUUGACUACCAGGCGACCUGAACUCUAAAAGUGUCGUAGCACGUGCUUUCUAAUACCCCGUCACUCGUACUCAAGGAUAGCAAUUAAGACGUCCUUUUCUCAUUUCGGAGCGUCCAGUCAUGGAUAAAGCAUGAACUUCGACAACAAGAAAUUACUGCAAGUCAAUCGGCUUAUUGCAUAACUACGUAAUCCUUGCUUCCUUUGCAGUUUUUUUUUAUCUCCAAAUGGAGACACUGUUCGCAUUAUUGGAAACGGUGGAAGACCAAAGUUCCUAGAGUUAUUAACGGCAUACGAAAGUGGAGAGAAUCGGGACACGUGCGAGAAUACAACUUUUCGCAUGGUGGGGACACAGAAUUUAUCUGCUAGCAGUUCUUAAGGCCCCAGUCUGCAGCCGUUCAGCACGUGUAGCAGCUCGUUGGAGUCGACUAGUCAAUGGAAGGCGGUCCUUAAAAAAAUUAUUCGACUAUAUUUAAAAAUGCUGGCUGUUAAACUUCUAAUUUUUAUCGCCGCCGUCUACUUGUCGUCAGGAUCGCCUGUGACACUCGAAGAGGGCGGGACUAAUAAUAAGAAAAAUGAAAGAAAAACUGGAGAUACUACUCUUCGUCUGGUUGUAGUGGUAAUGAGACAUGGAGAAAGAGCACCACAAGAUACUUAUCCAAAUGAUCCCUACCUAAAUGAUUCAAUGGAACCUUAUGGUUGGGGUCAACUGACGAAUGAGGGAAGACGAAGUCAGUAUAAUCAAGGACUUUUCCUACGCAAUCGUUACGAUGACUUCCUGGGACCAAUUUACAGUCCAGAAAUAUUUUAUCUACAAUCUACCGCGGUUGAUCGUACAAAGAUGUCUGCUUUGCUAGAAGCAGCUGCUCUGUGGAAACCAAACGAAAAGCAGUCUUUCAAAGCUGAUCUACCCUGGCAACCAGUCACCUUGUUUUAUCAACCACGUUCGGAAGAUACUUUAAUGUUAAUAUGGGAUACAUGCCCGAAAUAUACCAAGCUAAGACGCGCAAUUAUGUCUUUACCAGAAGUGCAAAAGAUUCAAAGUGAUAACACGAACUUGUACAAUGAAUUAACGAACUUAACAGGUAUGGCAAUAUCAUCUCCUGAAGACGUCAAUUCUCUUUAUGGAACAUUAACAGCCGAGAAACAAAUGAAUUUGACCCUUCCUGAAUGGACUGACGAUUACUAUCCUGAUAAGAUGGAACCAUUAACACUGUACGAUUUUGAACUGAAUGUAUAUAAUGAUCUUUUAAGACGACUCAAAGGUGGACCAUUCCUUAAGAAGAUCGUAACUGACAUGUUGGCGAAGAAAGAUAAUACUAUCGUUCCUGAACACAGGAAAAUGUUUAUGUAUAUCGGUCAUGAUAGUACAGUUGUAACUUUGUUGGAUGUUAUGCACGUAUGGAACAAUCAAAUGCCACAUUAUAAUAUUAUGACCAUGAUCGAAUUACACGAGGACAAAGAUGGUUGGAAUGUUCAAGUGUUCUUAAGAAACACAACUAAUCACGAACCUUAUUCGCUGACUAUUCCUGGUUGCGUAACGGUUUGUCCGCUUGACAAAUUUAUACAAAUUAUGAAACCAAUGAUACCAGAUGACUGGAAAGAAGAAUGCAAAGUUGAAGGAGAUUACACUCCUCCGCCUGCUCCAGUUCCUUGACUAUAAUUAUUUUAUUAACAGUGUAAAUGAAGAACAUUAUUUAAAAAAGUGGAAAAUAAUUAAAGAUGACUGCUGAAAUAGGAUCACAUUUCUUCACUUCGAUCCCAGACACUACAUCCAUAGAUCCUCAACUUAUACAAGCAGAAAUAAUACAAAAUUUAUUUCAGUAGCGAAUAUUUUUUCCUCUCUACGUUUUUUCGUUACUACUGUGCCAGGUUUAUGUUGCGCGUCUGGAUGAUUAAGUAGCUCUGGUGGACAAGUAGAAAUCGGACUUGCGAGGAUUGUUUGCUUAAGAUCGUAGAACAGAUGACUAUCGUCUUUAGUACAGAACGAAAUAGCAAGACCAGCCUUUCCUGCUCGACCAGUUCUACCAAUACGAUGCGUGUAAUCUAAAAACAAAGUUGGCUAAAAGUUUUUCCUCGUUUUCGGCGUCUUCGUUAUCUGGCUUCAAAUUUGUAACUGGCAUGUAUUCCAAAAUCUUCUGCACGUCUGGUUCAAAUCCCAUGUCUAUCAUUCUGUCGGCUUCGUCUAGUACUAUGUAUAUAAUGGAUAAUAUCUGCACAAUAACAAAUUGAUACCUCACAACCCAUUCUUAAUCUAAAGCCUUGUUCCUCUCUUGAAAGACCACCAACAACAACGACUGUUCUUAUACCUAAUGGUUGUCCAAACUUGUUAGUUUCUUCUUCUAUUUGUUGAGCCAAUUCACUAAAAACAUGUUUUAUAAAUAAGAAUAUACUUCAGGCAAUGCAUAUUAUAUAAUCUAACAUACCGGGUUGGUGCUAAAAUUAUACUGUAUGGACCCUGAUCCGCUUCUUCCAAUCUUUCAAUUUUUGGUAAGCUGGUAAUCCACAAUAGUAAUGGAAUUAAAAAUGCCAGAGUUUUACCAGAACCAGUUUCUGCAACACCAAUGAUAUCUCUAUUCUGAAGACCUAUAGGAAUGGCCUGUCUUUGAAUAGGUGUUAAGUCUUUGUAUCCAACUUUGUCAAUAAUAUCGAGAAUUUCCUUAGGGAAUCCUGAUUCUUUCCAUGAUCUAAUUGGAUCUGGUAUGCGACCUCCUUUUAUUGUAAUAUUGUAAUCUUCUCUAAAUAUACGCCAAUCUCUCUCAGUCAUUUCCUGAAGAG